CUCCCCCUUCAAACAAUCAGUCACACCUCCUAAAAGGGAUGCUUAUCUUUAACAACAUCAAAAAUAUUUUGAUGGUCUAUUCCUAGAGCAUGACCAGUUUCCAUUUCCUAUGGCAAUAAAAUCGUUAACAACGCCUGUCUUUUUUUAACAGCUUUCUUUCUACUUCUUAGUAUCCAAAUUCAGUGACCCCGAUUAGAAUUCCAGGGAAGACAUCUAAUUGACUCACACAAAUUUUGUUAAUACAGCGAUGGGGUUAGAAAUGGAGAGACUUUCAAUGUGGCACAAGUUAUGCUCACAUUAGCAAGAAUUAAGUGCCUGCUUCCUUCCCCCCUCUUUAUCCCCCUCCUUCUUAGAACAAGCAUCAGUACAAGCAUUGAUACAGUAAUGCAUAGGCGGGCCAAACUGAUCACCUUUUCAAAGAGUCGCCGCAGGGAGCUUGAAACUUCACCCUGGGCUAUCACGUCUCCUUGGAGUGGCAGGGGGGAGAGGUGGACAGCAGAGAACAAAACAGGUGCGUGGCUUGUGACUUUUCUGAGAACUCUCAGCCCCUUGGCCAAACGAUCCCUCACUCGUGACAAACCCAAACAAAAAUGCCAAGGAACAGUCAUGUUUUGA
rnacentral:lncRNA from 1 species